ensembl:lincRNA
UUAUUAAUCAUGUGACAUAGAACUAUUAGUAAAGUCUGAAUCAAAACUUGGAUUUGGUUUUUCUCAUUUUCAAAAUGGUAAUAAGUUGAUUUUGCUUUAAAACAGUAAGUCUGAAAUAACCACAAAAUAGCAAAACACUGUCUCAAAUCCUAAUGUCACAGUUUUCAUUUAUCCUUGGUCAUGGAUAUAGAUCUACGGGGAAAAUUAAUUGUUUCUAUUUAUUCUAUCCUAGUUACAAUAAUCCUUAACUUUAAGUAUUGUACCUCCCUUUUUCUUAGUACUUAGAGUAGAAAACCAGAGAAGCAAAUCCAUUUAUUUUACUAGAAAGAAAAUUCUUACUUGUUUUAUCUAGAACCAUGAAAAAGAAGUGGUAUCACAAAUCUGCUUAGUUUUUUUGGACUUGAAGCGUAGAGUCGAAGGCUUUUGAGAUUCCACAAUGCUUGGAAGAAAAUGUGGAUGUCUCCAGAGAGGCCAUACCUAAUGAGGAGCUCCCAACAAAUGGCAACUGAUGUUACCUACAACCGAAUACGUCAAGAAGCCUCUGUAUGGGUUGGAGGAGUCUUGCCUGUGAAAUGUUUCCAAGAGUACAAGCCCAGUAGCAGCACUGAUUGCAAAAGAGGAAACACACUCGCUUCAGCCUGCACCAACCAAAAUGACUGCUCAAAGGCCAUUCAGCCCCUUUAUCACUGUGGCUCAACUUUGAUUUUCUUCCCAGUUCAUCCAUGAUUCAGACUUCUUCUGUUUCAGGAGCUUUGCCCAUGCGUUCUGCCACCUUCUGCCAGGAAUUACACCUGUCCCACCCCGUCAAGUCUCCUGAAUGUCCAGGUAAAGAUUUAUUUUUCCUUUGGGUCUCAAAAAUGUAUUCUAGUCACCCUUCACUAGAUAUGGAUUCCCUG